rnacentral:rRNA from 1 species
GAUGAACGCUGGCGGCGUGCUUAAUACAUGCAAGUCGAACGAACAGGCCAUGCGCUUGCGGCGUGCUCGAUAGGCGAAGGGGUGAGAAAAACGCGAGUAAAAUCCACUUGUAAGAGGGGUAAAACCACGAAAAACGGGAGCAAACCGGAUAGGAGCUCCUGAAGCACGGGGGUGGUUGGUGAAAGUUGGCGGUUGUAGCUCGUAUAGAGGCUUAUGAGCCGGAUGGGGAGGUAGUGGCUUACCAAGGCUAUGAAGGGUAGGCGGCCUGGGAGGGUGACCGGCCACAUUGGUACUGCGGUACGGCCCAGACUGCUACGGGAGGCAGUAGGGGGGAAUAUUGCACAAUGGGCGGAAGCCUGAUGCAGCGACGCCGCGUGCGGGAUGCCGUCUUUCGGGUUGUAAACCACUUUCUACUGUGACGAGGCGGUAGUGACGGUAAUGAGUAAAGAAGCCCCGGCUAACUACGUG